rnacentral:lncRNA from 1 species
CCGAUAGAAAGAGAUGUUGGGCCUUCCCUGAGCCCAGUGACUGAGCCAUUACUGGACACGGGUCCCAUGUUCUCUCUCUCCCUCUGUUCUCUGACUUUUUUCUUUACUUGGGUAUACAGGGAGAGCUCAUCCUAACCUCCAGUGCUGGGAUUUCACAAAAUGAAAAUACCUUAAAUAUGCAACAGUGUUGGCAAAUGAACAGCAACAGAGAAAAAUCAUUUCUUCCCCUUUUUUAUCUCCAUCUUCAAACUUGAAUUUAAAACAACUAUUUUUACAUAAACUACAAAGUCACAGCCAGCAGCAUGUGCAGCAGAGACAGAUAGCCUGAGGUUGCCCAGGGACUUUUCAUUUUAUCUUUGCGCAGACCUAGCACUGCCUGCCAGGUAAAACUAGUGUAACGAGGGCUCCGGCGUCUCCACCACGCGUCAGCCCUGCCGAGGCCAAGAUGAGCACGCUGAUAACGCGGGCUGCCUGACAGCCAGGGGAGAUUCUGUAAAUCAUGCUGCUCCCAUUGAUUACAGUCGGGAAGAGCAUUAACCCUCCUUCACCCCAAGAUACGCUGUCUCCACAAGUGUUUGUAACAUCAACAUGUUACGGGAGCUUUUGGAAGAUGAAUUCAUUGCUAGAGAGAAGACCCCUUCGCAAAAUAAAGAAAUGCC